GUGUCAGCAGCCGCGGUAAUACGUAGGGUGCAAGCAUUGUCCGGAUUUAUUGGGCGUAAAGAGCUCGUAGGCGGCUUGUCACGUCGGAUGUGAAAACUCGGGGCUCAACCCCGAGCCUGCAUUCGAUACGGGCUAGCUAGAGUGUUGCAGGGGAGACUGGAAUUCCUGGUGUAGCGGUGAAAUGCGCAGAUAUCAGGAGGAACACCGGUGGCGAAGGCGGGUCUCUGGGCAACUACUGACGCUGAGGAGCGAAAGCGUGGGGAGCGAACAGGAUUAGAAACCCGUGUAGUCC
rnacentral:rRNA from 1 species